UGGUUUGUCGCGUUGUUCGUGAAAUCUCACGGCUUAACUGUGAGCGUGCGGGCGAUACGGGCAGACUUGAGUACUGCAGGGGAGACUGGAAUUCCUGGUGUAGCGGUGGAAUGCGCAGAUAUCAGGAGGAACACCGGUGGCGAAGGCGGGUCUCUGGGCAGUAACUGACGCUGAGGAGCGAAAGCGUGGGGAGCGAACAGGAUUAGAUACCCUGGUAGUCCACGCCGUAAACGGUGGGUACUAGGUGUGGGUUUCCUUCCUUGGGAUCCGUGCCGUAGCUAACGCAUUAAGUACCCCGCCUGGGGAGUACGGCCGCAAGGCUAAAACUCAAAGAAAUUGACGGGGGCCCGCACAAGCGGCGGAGCAUGUGGAUUAAUUCGAUGCAACGCGAAGAACCUUACCUGGGUUUGACAUGCACAGGACACCGGCAGAGAUGUCGGUUCCCUUGUGGCCUGUGUGCAGGUGGUGCAUGGCUGUCGUCAGCUCGUGUCGUGAGAUGUCGGGUUAAGUCCCGCAACGAGCGCAACCCUUGUCUCAUGUUGCCAGCGGGUAAUGCCGGGGACUCGUGAGAGACUGCCGGGGUCAACUCGGAGGAAGGUGGGGAUGACGUCAAGUCAUCAUGCCACUUAUGUCCAGGGCUUCACACAUGCUACAAUGGCCGGUACAAAGGGCUGCGAUGCCGCGAGGUUAAGCGAAUCCUUUUAAAGCCGGUCUCAGUUCGGAUCGGGGUCUGCAACUCGACCCCGUGAAGUCGGAGUCGCUAGUAAUCG
rnacentral:rRNA from 1 species